rnacentral:rRNA from 1 species
GACGAACGCUGGCGGCGUGCUUAACACAUGCAAGUCGAGCGGUAAGGCCCUUUCGGGGGUACACGAGCGGCGAACGGGUGAGUAACACGUGGGUGACCUGCCCUUAGCUCUGGGAUAAGCCUGGGAAACUGGGUCUAAUACCGGAUAUGACUCCAUGACGCAUGUUGUGGGGUGGAAAGCCUUGUGCGGCUAGGGAUGGGCCCGCGGCCUAUCAGCUUGUUGGUGGGGUGAUAGCCACCAAGGCGACGACGGGUAGCCGGCCUGAGAGGGCGACCGGCCACACUGGGGACUGAGACACGGCCCAGACUCCUACGGGAGGCAGCAGUGGGGAAUAUUGGACAAUGGGCGCAAGCCUGAUCCAGCUAUGCCGCGUGGAUGAAGAAGGCCCUAGGGUUGUAAAGUCCUUUCGGCGGGGAAGAUAAUGACGGUACCCGCAGAAGAACGCCCCGGCUAAUUUCGUGCCAGCCGCCGCUGUAAG